CGAACACCUCUGCGGGACAACUCACACAACUCACACUGCGGCUGCGUCACUCUUUUAGUGACCAAAGCAAAGAUGAUAAGCUAGCUAACGCGAUGAUAAAUAAACGGGACAACGGCAAACUUUACCAGAGACGUCUUCAGAAAGCAGUAGACACAUGUGAAGACUAAAGAACCGGGGAGUUACCGGGAGACACCGUGAAAACAUCCGGUGUUUACUCCAGCUGCUGUUUGCACGGUUACCAAUAUAAAGUUAGCUCAUGCUAGUUAGCUCAUGCUAGUUAGCUCAUGCUAACGCUGGUAACUAAGGAGAUCUUCUUAACAACGCGCCUCUCUGAGUGUUUCUGCUCCGUGGAUCACAGCUCUCUGACAAACACCAGAACACAUUGGCAGACACCUCCUAACUCAUGACAGCUGAUGACAGCUCUCUUACGCAGGCAGUAAGUUGUGUAUUUUUAUUUUUAAAGAAAGCACCUUUAACUCACCUGUACGAGUGCUUCCCAGGUGAAUAUAUCUAUGUGAUAUAUAUCCUCGGAUGGAUGUCAGAGCAGAGCCACAUCACCAAACACUCCCAGAAACAAAACUUCCUGCGCUCUGAUUGGUCGACAGCGUAUCUAAGGGACCCUGUGCAAAUUUCCCACUACCUUUUCUAGGGAGUAUCUGCAUAAAUAUAUUAAAAAAACGAAAAAUGAGCCUGUGAGCUUAAAAAAAAUAAUAAAAAAUUCUACAUAAAAUAAUAAAGAAGAUAAUGAUGGCAGGACAUGAACAUAGAGUCAACCGGAUCAUCAAUCACGGCAGGCAGCUCGGGAGGAGUCUGCUGCUGCUGUUUCACUACACCACGGUGUUUGCAGCCUUUGUGGGGCGCACCGUGCAGUGGAUGGUGGACGCAGUGAAGUGGACCAGCCUGUUUGCACGCUACACGGUGUCAGUGUUUGACUCCAUCUACAGACAUCUGCACUGGGGGAAGAGGAAAAGUGGUGCCAGGGAGAUCUGCCCGAGCUCUGACAUGAUGCAGCCACAGUGACUCCCAUGUUGUCCAGACAUGAAGCCAAACAAAGACUGCAACUGAAGCUGAACCUUUUGGAAUAUGAAGAAGGAAAACGAGGCCUUAAUGAAGUCAUAAAAAUUAUAGCUUUCUACUUUUUUAAGCUCUUAAAACAUUGUCACAUCAGUGCUAUAUUUGUAUGCUUGGUUACAUAAUGUGUGUAUUCCAUUUUUUAUUAUUGUACGCCCUUCCAAAAUGUUGGAAACUAUAUUUCAGGUGCAGACUGUUAAUGCAAAUGUGUUACAGGGUAAUGCAAAUUAGAGUCAAAUAUGUUGUAAGCAAACAUACUGUAUGUUUAUUGCACUACAGCAGAGGUUUUUGAUUGAAUCACAAGCCAUUUUUUUUUACGUCUGUGCCUGUCUGAAGCAUGCACGUU